rnacentral:rRNA from 1 species
UACGUAGGUGGCAAGCGUUGUCCGGAUUUACUGGGCGUAAAGAGCGCGCAGGCGGUCGUUCAAGUCGCGUGUGAAAGCCCCCGGCUCAACUGGGGAGGGUCACGCGAUACUGAUCGACUCGAAGGCAGGAGAGGGUAGUGGAAUUCCUGGUGUAGAGGUGAAAUUCGUAGAUAUCAGGAGGAACACCGGUGGCGAAGGCGGCUACCUGGACCGGUACUGACGCUGAGACACGAAAGCGUGGGGAGCAAACAGG